GUUUGGGUGGUGUAGUUGGUUAUCAUGCUAGUCUUACAUGCUAGAGGUCCCCAGUUCAAUCUUGGGCUUAGACA